UCUAAGGACACGCAGCAGGCGCGCAAAUUAUCCCCUGGCAACACUUUGCCGAGAUAGUGACAAUAAAUAACAAUGCAGGGCUCUUACGGGUCUUGCAAUUGGAAUGAGUACAAUUAAAUCCCUUAACGAGGAUCAAUUGGAGGGCAAGUCUGGUGCCAGCAGCCGCGGUAAUUCCAGCUCCAAUAGCGUAUAUUAAAGUUGUUGCCGUUAAAAAGCUCGUAGUCGAACUUCGGCGCCUGAUGGCCGGUCCGCCUUCUUGGUGUGUACUUGCUCAUCGGGCGCUUACCUCCUGGUGAACUCUGAUGUCCUUUACUGGGUGUCAGAGCAAACCAGGACGUUUACUUUGAAAAAAUUAGAGUGUUCAAAGCAGGCCUACGCCCGAAUACAUUAGCAUGGAAUAAUAGAAUAGGACGCGCGUUCCCAUUUUGUUGGUUUCUGAGAUCGCCGUAAUGAUUAAUAGGGAUAGUUGGGGGCAUUUGUAUUCCGUCGUCAGAGGUGAAAUUCUUGGAUUGCCGGAAGACAAACUACUGCGAAAGCAUUUGCCAAGGAUGUUUUCAUUGAUCAAGAACGAAGGAAGGGGGAUCGAAAACGAUCAGAUACCGUUGUAGUCUCUUCUGUAAACUAUGCCAAUUGGGGAUU
rnacentral:rRNA from 1 species